AAAGUGGAGACACAAACGGCGCCCCAUACUCCACUCUGGGAGGAAGUAGGAAGGAGGAAGUUAUUGGACUCGGGCGCCAAUUAGAAAGAGGUAACGAAAAUGCCUGACAGUUGUUCUUCGGUUGUACGUGCUAACUGACAAGGAGACAAGCCCGGGUUGUGCUUCUAAAGAAUCCCAUGUGAGAGUGAGAGUCCAGAGGAAAGUGUGGAUUAUUGCUAGUAGACGCUCUUUUGUCACCUGAGAGGAAACAAAUCAAGCGACAAAGUUUACAGGACUCGAGCGAACAAUUCAUUUAUGUUUCCUUAUUCAUUCCCAAGAGACAGUGUUCAACUUUCCAUCAAGAAUCGUCCAUGCUGGCCUCGACCAACCAUCAACACACAGCCAGAGGUGAAGUCACUUUUAUGGAAAUGAGGAAGAUGAGUGGAAGCAGAACGCAGGCCAAACCCCCAACAGAUCCUCAGACUGAAGCAAACCUAGUACUGCCCAACAUCCGCUCUGGUGGCCGAAUAGAGGAAAACCCCUGCGGUCACAUCUACUCGUCUGAUGAAAAGCCUGAAAGCACAACAGUGAAGGUGUCUCAGUCAUCAAUGUUGGUGGAGGGUUUCGUUUUCUGAAGAGCUUUUUGGACAGAGAAAAUAGUUAAGAUCAAACAUUGACAUUGAGGGGAACAUGUCUUUAAGUCCUCUGCAUCGCACUGUGAUAGCCUCGAAUGUCUACGGAUUACUCGGCCACCCUUCCACGAGGCGUACAUCCAAAUGUUUGUGAUGCAAAUCUGCUUCAGCUUCUGGAUCAUCACAGCCAACAGUAAGGAGGUAGGAGGGGACGGGGACGGUCCAAACGCUCAAUCACCAUCACUUAUCAGCCCUGUAGGGUGGCAGUGUCCCCCCUCCAUUCUCAACAUGUCGCCGCUGUCAGGUUACAAACACACAACUCCAGUCUGCUGUUCACAUGUUCAGGACCAGCUACAGCUUGUACAAACACUUACAUUAUCUUUGUCCUGUGCUGUGGCUCUAUAUCUGGGGACUUAUUGCUGGUUGCAGUAUUUCACUUGAUAUUGUGUCUCAGCACCUUUAUGAUUUUUUUUUCAAGUGCAGAAGUAGUAAUGUGUUUCCACAUAUGAAGAAAAAACAGUAAAGCCGAAUGUUUGACUUUAAUGCAAGGGAUGCGUUUUGAAACUAGUGUAUUUUUUAUCCAUCAAUGAAUUACUAAUAACCACAGCACACUGUUUUAUCUCCGCAAUUGAAUUAGAGGUUUCGCCAUCUGCUUUCAGGAACUUUUAUUGCCCAAUGUUAAAUGUUGAAUUUAACAAGAUGCCAUGGUUGCAUUUGGACAACCAUGGAAAAUAAACUCAAGAUUUAUGAGAAAUAGCAGAGUG